CCUACGGGAGGCUGCAGUGGGGAAUAUUGGGCAAUGGGCGCAAGCCUGACCCAGCAACGCCGCGUGAAGGAAGAAGGCUUUCGGGUUGUAAACUUCUUUUAUUGAGGACGCAACAAAUGACGGUACUCAAUGAAUAAGCCACGGCUAACUACGUGCCAGCAGCCGCGGUAAUACGUAGGUGGCAAGCGUUAUCCAGAUUUACUGGGUGUACAGGGCGUGUAGGCGGGACUGCAAGUCAGAUGUGAAACCCAGGGGCUCAACCCAUGGCCUGCAUUUGAAACUGUAGUUCGUGAGUGAUGGAGAGGCAGGCGGAAGUGCGUGUGUAGCGGGGAAAGGCGUAG
rnacentral:rRNA from 1 species